rnacentral:lncRNA from 12 species
ACCUCGGUGAAAGGAUUUCAGUGGGAGAGGCCUCUGAUCUUGAGGAUGGGUUUGGAUUUUGUUUUUCCACCCUAGUGAAGGGAUUUCAGUGGGAGUGGCUCUGGGUUUGGGUUUGAGUUUGGGGUCGGGUUUGGGUUUGGGGUUGGGGUUUGGGUUUUCCACCUCGGUGAAGGGAUUUCAGUGGGAGUGGCUCUGGGGUCGGGUUUGGGUUUGGGGUCGGGUUUGGGUUUGGGGUCGGGUUUGGGUUCGAGGUUGGGGUUUGGGUUGCACGUCCCCUGACGAGCAGCGUGUCCCUGCAGAGUACGAGAAGGCGCAGUCCUCGCAGGACGCCGUCUCCUCCAUGAACCUCUUUGACCUGGGGGGGCAGUACCUGCGGGUGGGCAAGGCUGUGACCCCCCCCAUGCCCCUGCUGACCCCUGCCACACCUGGCGGGCUCCCACCUGCUGCUGCCGUGGCUGCUGCGGCCGCCACCGCCAAGAUCACGGCGCAGGAGGCCGUGGCAGGAGCUGCAGUUCUGGGCACGCUGGCCACCCCCGGGCUGGUGUCCCCUGCCCUGACCCUGGCCCAGCCCCUGGGGGCGCUGCCCCAGGCUGUGAUGGCUGCACAGGCACCGGGGGUCAUCACAGGUGUGACCCCGGCGCGGCCGCCCCUCCCGGUGCCCAUCCCUCAGGUGGGCGUGGUUAACCCCAUCCUGGCCAGCCCCCCUGCGCUGGGGCUGGUGGAGGCCAAGAAGGACAAGGAGGAGGAGGAGGCGCUGCCCGAGGCCGAGCGGCCGGAAAUGCUGAGCGAGCAGGAGCACAUGAGC